rnacentral:rRNA from 1 species
GCCCAGACUCCUACGGGAGGCAGCAGUGGGGAAUAUUGCACAAUGGGGGAAACCCUGAUGCAGCGACGCCGCGUGAAGGAUGAAGUAUUUCGGUAUGUAAACUUCUAUCAGCAGGGAAGAAAAUGACGGUACCUGACUAAGAAGCCCCGGCUAACUACGUGCCAGCAGCCGCGGUAAUACGUAGGGGGCAAGCGUUAUCCGGAUUUACUGGGUGUAAAGGGAGCGUAGACGGCAUGGCAAGUCAGAUGUGAAAGCCCGGGGCUCAACCCCGGGACUGCAUUUGAAACUGUCAGGCUGGAGUGCAGGAGAGGUAAGUGGAAUUCCUAGUGUAGCGGUGAAAUGCGUAGAUAUUAGGAGGAACACCAGUGGCGAAGGCGGCUUACUGGACUGUAACUGACGUUGAGGCUCGAAAGCGUGGGGAGCAAACAGGAUUAGAUACCCUAGUAA